rnacentral:rRNA from 1 species
GAGACUCUGUGCGCGUGCAUAUCAAUAAGCGGAGGAAAAGAAACUAACAAGGAUUCCCCUAGUAACGGCGAGUGAAGCGGGAAGAGCUCAAAUUUGAAAUCUUAAAGGGUUUCCCUUUACGAAUUGUAGUUUAAAGAAGUGUUUUCUGUUGGAGUUUCGGUAAAAGUUCUUUGGAAUAGGACAUCAUAGAGGGUGAGAAUCCCGUAUUUGACCGUUACUUUUCAGCUGUGUGAUACACUUUCAAAGAGUCGGAUUGUUUGGGAAUGCAGUCCAAGAUGGGUGGUAAAUUUCAUCUAAAGCUAAAUAUUGGCGAGAGACCGAUAGCGAACAAGUACCGUGAGGGAAAGAUGAAAAGAACUUUGAAAAGAGAGUUAAACAGUACGUGAAAUUGUCAAAAGGGAAGCGUUUGACACCAGUGUUGUUUAGUUGAAAAUCAAUUCAAUAGUUUUUGAUUUUGAAGUAGUAUUGACUUCAUCAGCUUGCUGCUUUCUUUUCCGAAAUUAUUGAAUGCACUUUUCAGUUAACAAGUCAACAUCAAUUUCUUUUGUUGUAAAGGGUAAGAGGAAGGUGGCUUACGCUUCGGCGUCAAGUGUUUAUAGCCUUUGUACCUCUGCAAUCGGAGAGAUUGAGGUACUAGCAGCGUAGACUCCUUCGGGGUUAGAUACACUUGUGCUAAGCUAUAGCCUUGUAUAGACAACUUGUUGACUAUGCUCAGUCAUGUAGCUUACUCGCUUGAUGCUAUUUUACCUACGCUUAGGAUGUUGACAGCAGUAUAGACUGU